UGAGGAGGAGGGUGCGGGGUCGGCGGGCGGGGUUCCCCGCCGCGGUUCCCAGCGCGGUUCCCAGCGCAGUUCCUAGCGCAGCCCGGGAUCGGACCCGGCAAACGCCGCUGAAACCCGCUGGGAAGCUGCGGCUGCCGGAGCCGCUCCGGCCCCGCUUGGAAGCGGCGGGGAUGUCGCCGCUGUGGGUUGUCCCGGAGCCCCCGGGGCUGCAUCAGCGCCGGGAGGGGAGGCAGAGGCAGGGAGCGAUGGAUGGAGGCUCCGGAUCGAUGCUGAGGUUUUUGUUGCCCUCGGAAAGAAAAAGGGAUGAGUGUGAGAGUGCUGGUGGCUGCGGGGGAGUGGAGAGGGAGCGGAGCGGAGCACUGGGUUCUCUUCAAAGCUCUCCUGCGCACACCCUGCGUGGUGUCAGCCGGAGUCUCCAGCCCGUGCUUUAGCCUCCAACAAGUACAGCGGGGAAACUCCUUUCCUUUCCUUCCUCUAGGCUGCCUUGCCUGGAUUGUAAUAUCCGCAAGGUAGCAACUUUUUAGGCUCUUUGUCACAGGAGUCGGGGUCUGCAUCGCCGACGCCACUUUUCUCUCACGAACCUCAACUAUUUAACUCCAUUAGCAGCAAAUGCCAGAAUAUUUGGGUGGUUUUGAGCGUUAAUGAUUGCAUCGUCACAAAGCUCUUCUCAGAGUAAUAGUAUUUGGUAAUACUGUCAUUCCUACAGUUCGAAUUGGAAAACUCCAGCCCAGAAUGUGGAGAUGCCCUGCUCCAGCAAAAGAGUUAAAGGUCUGUCCACCAUGGCAGACAUGCUCCGGGAGCAGGAGCUGUGUCCCUUUAGAGACUGUAUCAUCCCACAGUCGCAGCCUGAUAGUUACAGGCUCUACCAAAAGUGGAGCAAUUUCUGCCCCAAAGUGCAAGUGCAGUUUCCAUGAAGUUGCUUGGUGGAUUUGUUAACUUGUGGAGUUUUGUUGUCUUUGUACACUGAAAAUGUUAGGCAGAAUCUUGUGUUCAUAUGAAUUAUGCUACUUGGCAGAAAUCUCUUAUUUUAUAUAAUUAAUUGUUCAUUUUGCCCUUUCCUCUUUAAUAAAUAAGUUGAGAAAAAAUAAGAUUACAAAAAGAAACAAAGUUUUAAUUCCUGUUUGGGUGCUGUGAGCUAGGUAUACUGCAAUCUAACAGUGUCUUAUUUUUAGUAAACCAAUUACAAUUUCAUAGUAA